GGGUUGUAAAGCACUUUUGUCCGGAAAGAAAUCGCGCUGGUUAAUACCUGGCGUGGAUGACGGUACCGGAAGAAUAAGCACCGGCUAACUACGUGCCAGCAGCCGCGGUAAUACGUAGGGUGCGAGCGUUAAUCGGAAUUACUGGGCGUAAAGCGUGCGCAGGCGGUUUGAUAAGACAGGCGUGAAAUCCCCGAGCUUAACUUGGGAAUGGCGCUUGUGACUGUCAGGCUAGAGUAUGUCAGAGGGGGGUAGAAUUCCACGUGUAGCAGUGAAAUGCGUAGAGAUGUGGAGGAAUACCGAUGGCGAAGGCAGCCCCCUGGGACGUCACUGACGCUCAUGCACGAAAGCGUGGGGAGCAAACAGGAUUAGAUACCCUGGUAGUCCACGCCCUAAACGAUGUCAACUAGUUGUUGGGGAUUCAUUUCUUCAGUAACGUAGCUAACGCGUGAAGUUGACCGCCUGGGGAGUACGGUCGCAAGAUUAAAACUCAAAGGAAUUGACGGGGACCCGCACAAGCGGUGGAUGAUGUGGAUUAAUUCGAUGCAACGCGAAAAACCUUACCUACCCUUGACAUGCCACUAACGAAGCAGAGAUGCAUCAGGUGCCCGAAAGGGAAAGUGGACACAGGUGCUGCA
rnacentral:rRNA from 1 species